CAAAUUUUUGCCUUGUUUGGGCGUUUCUUCUUCGCACAAAACACUUUUCCCCUUUUCUAUGGGGAUAAACACGCACGCGGGCGUACGCGCGUAUUGCCGUAUUUAUAGAACGAUUCGUUCGUUCUACCGGGAACCGGCUGAAUUCUUUGGAGAUGAACGUCGAACCAUUAUCGCUCAACAGGAUUUCCGGACUUCCAUGGCGGUUGAACCAUUGUUCGCGAAGGGUCGCACAAAGUGAGGCGCUGCAAAUUUUGCGAACGGGGGUCAACAUUACGUACUUGCUGAAGACGUCGAGGACGACUAGCAAGUGUUGAUUGCCCCGUUUGCUUCGAGGAAGUGGGCCUAUGUAGACCACCGAAAUCAUCUGCCACGGUGCACCGGUUGUCCCACAUUGGCGAAUAUAUUCGCGAACUUCUGGUCCCAUACGAGGCCAAAAAUAGCGUUUUUGAACCUCGUGAAUCGUUUUAUCAUAACCCACAUGAAGCAAUUCAUCGUGGGUAUGUUGCACGAUUUCUUCUCGACACUCGGGA